rnacentral:lncRNA from 1 species
GUGUGGAUUGAAUAAGUCAACUAAAUGGUCCAUCCCUUUUGUUUUACUUUCAAUGUUGUCAUGCUGUUUCUUUUUGUCGAGCCGGCGACUUAAGUCGCAAAAGCGAGACAUAGCAAACCAUUCUGUCGUCAGAAGGGUCCACAAAUAUUCACUAUGUGGUUAAAGUUCUUUAAAUUCUGAGAACUUUCUUAAAUUAUCCUGGAUUUGUAUCAAACUUUAACAGAAUCUUGUUUAUGAUCAUAAGAUAAUUUUCAAGAAGUAUUUUACUUAUAAAUGGACUUAGUUUGUAUGUCAG